rnacentral:lncRNA from 1 species
AGAUGGAUACGUCACAAAAUUGGAGAACUUGGAUCCUAGACACAUAAGUAAAGGCUGAAGGUGACAGACUUGAAGCUAGAGAUUUUCCAUAUGUUAGGCUCUUAAGGUGAAAGUGAAGGAUGGAGGCAGAAGCAGAAGUUAGAGCAUGCCUAACGCAUACUGAAUUAAAUAAAGGAAUGGGGUUUUCUAUCAUUAAAGUUUUUUCUAUCUUUAUUUUUUUUAAAGUUUUUAU